rnacentral:lncRNA from 1 species
CUUCAUUCUUGAAGAUAACUGAGGAUCUCUCUGCCACAGACUUAAUGCUCCUGUGCAUAAAAGUCCAACAGAAAAUUUUAAGUACCUGUUUAAAGCAAUUUACAAGAUACUGUGGAGAUUCCCAGCAAUAAAGAAUGUACUAUAGUUAAGCUGGAAUCCAACUCCUGAAUUUCUGGAGCCCUGAAGACCACUUAGUCUUACUCACAAGAAUUGAAUGGAAUGUGAAUCUACACUCAGGUGAAGCCAGGGUAUUUUGAACGUCCCUACAAGACUGAAGCACCACUGGGAAAUAAGUAAUAGAGAUGCCAUCAUUGUGGAGGUCAUAAUGCUUGUCCUGAACACGAGGGGUCUCUAGUGAGGCACCAAUUCAGCUCCUCUUCUGUGGAGAGACUACAUGGGUGCUGAAGAAACAAAGACACAACGCAGCUCCUCUCAAAGGAGUUCAGAGCUUAGCAGGGGAGACAGAACCAUGAAUGCAUAGUUACGCAUCAAUGUGCUGCACGAGCACUGAAGCCCAAGCACAAGCGGCCUGAGUCCCAAAAACAUUUGCUGACUGCUGUUCUAUCUAGGAUAUCAUCAGUGUGUAGAUGAUCAGAGUUCAUGUCAGUGUUCCUACAAGCCAAUGAAGAAAAACAGAGAUCUGUGUUCUGAAUGGAAAAAUUCCUACUGAUGCCAGUAAGUGAGCCAUCCAUCUAUGAUGUGUCUAUGGGGAAGAAAGUGACAUGAAUGAGUAAAAUAGAAUAUAUGCUUUAAAUCAUGAAAAUUGAGUCCAGAUGGAAAGGUUAGGAGGAAAUGGAGUGGAAAGGUGGAUGAAGAAGAGUGAGAACUCAUGCAGUCGUUGCGACUUGGUUGACACUUCCUUCCCUGUGACUACAAUUCCAAGUUCAGUACUCCUGAGCUUUUAUAGAUGGAUGAGAAUAUAGGGGGAAGAAACAAGAGGAAGGAGUUUUCUGAAAUCUCGGUGGAGAGGAGGGAGAAAAAAGAUGGGAAAAUGUUACAAGCAUUCUGUUCAUGUUGUAUCACUUAGUGCAGUCUUGUCUUCCCAGCCCACUAGUCUGGAACAAGUCAGUCUCAAACAUAACAACAGACACUGGGGAGCUCUCCAACAAAAGAUCACCUCCCAAAGAACAGGAUGGUGUCGAAGACUGAAUGCCAGCCUGAGGAAACAGAAAUACUACAGAAGCACGCCAGAGCCUGCAGUGUCUCCUCGCUGCCUCUCAAUGAACUGCUAAAAGACCAAGAACUCUGCUGAGAGAUAAGAAGAGGGGAGGGUGUGCUGCAGGUGGUGCUGGGAGGCCCAGACCUUCUCCUGACAUCUGGGGCUGGCUACAGGAAACAGAAACAUCACCCAGGCCUUGGCGCGAGACAGGACAGAGGCAGAUUGUGACUCAGAUCUGCAGGUGGAAAGUGGGCCUUUCGUUUUCUCCUAGGGGUAGAGCAAAGCCAGAGGGCUCAGUCAGAGGAAACCUAAGGCAGUUCAUGAUCCCUUCAACUUUAUACCAUUUCCUCAAAACUGCCUCCAAACAGUGGGCAACUGGAAAGGUGGUCUGACCUCCAGUGAUCACACAGUAUGCAUUAUAACAGAAGGCUGUCACUGUCAAUUGCAUGGCUCCCUCACUAUGCAUUCCUUCUAUCAAUUUACGACAACACACUGUAGUGAGUACCUGCACAUUGCUGGGUAUUUUGGCAGACAUUGAUAGUAGAUGAAUAACACCUGGUACUUGACCUUGAGACGCUCACUGCCUAGUGUGGGGAACCAAUGGUUGCAAUAUAAAGUAUUAACUAGAGGGAUAGAGGACUGCCUGAGGAUCUCUGCACUCAGAGGAAGGGCCAUGAGAUCAGCCAGGACAGUAGGGAGGCAGUGACUCAUGAAAUUAGCAAGUGGUGAGAAGAGGGCAGUAGAUUCAGCGGCUGCUAAAAAAGGUUACUGAACUUUUUGUUUCAUCAAUGCCAAGAAAUUAAUCUGUUUUAGCCUCUUUCAUGGCCUCUGUUUGAAAUUUUUUAACUUUUUUUUUUUUUUUAGAUUUAGGGGUACAAGGACAGUUGUAUUGCAUGAGUAUAUCAUAUAGUGGUGAAGCCUGGGCUUUAAGUGCACCUAUCACCCGAAUAGCGUACAUUGUACCCACUAGGUAGUAUUUCAUUUCUCACCCUUCUUCCACCUUUUGGAAUCUCCAGUGUUUGUUGUUCUACUCUGUAUGCCCAUGUGUACUCAUUGUUUCACUCCCACUUAUAAGUGAGAACAUGUGCUUUUGACUUUCUGUUUCUGAGUUGUUUCACUUAGGAUAAUGCAUGUUCCUGUUUUGAUUCAGUCAAAAUCCUGGGGUCAGCACUGACAAUGUGAUUAACCCCUGUCCUAAAUUCACUGCAGAGGAACUGCUCCCAUAUGACUACUUAUUACCACCCAAGCCAGAAACCACAAAGAUAUUCUGACCUCUCCUCCUUCACUCCCCACCAACUGGUGAGUAAGCUAGUCACCAAGUCUUGAUUCUACUUGCAAACAUCUUUGGAAGGGAUCUCUCACUCCACACAGUCUCUGUCAUUGCCAAGUAUACCCAUUACCUCUGCUCUGUCCUACGGCUCAUCAUUCCUCAUCUACAUGCUGCACCAACCUCCUAACUCCCAUUCCUCCCCCUCCUAGUUCACUGCCAUAGCGUAAUCUUUCUAUAUCACGGAUCAUAUUGU